UUAAAAUAAUCAAAAGAAAUAUUUAAUCAGAGCCAGCAACAGCGUCAAGGUACGAAAAUCAUUAAAAUAAUAAAAAAUAUAUGUAAUCAGAGCCAGCAACAGCGUCAAGGUACGAAAAUAAUUAAAAUAAUCAAAAAAAUAUAUGUAAUCAGAGCCAGCAACAGCGUCAAGGUACGAAAAUAAUUAAAAUAAUCAAAAAAAUAUAUG